rnacentral:rRNA from 1 species
GAGUUUGAUCAUGGCUCAGAGUGAACGCUGGCGGCGUGGAUUAGGCAUGCAAGUCGAGCGAUACCCUGGAUGGAGAGAUUGAAGCCGCAAGGCGGAUGUCGAUUUGUCUGGGGAUAUAGCGGCAGACUGGUGAGGAACACGUGAGUAAUAUACCUCCAAGUUGGGAAUAGCCUUGCGAAAGUGAGGGUAAUACCCGAUGUGUUUACGGCGGCGCAAGCCGCUGCAAGUAAAGGUGCACCGGCGAAAGCCGGGGUGCCGCUUGAAGAUUAGCUCGCGUCCUAUCAGCUAGUUGGUGGGGUAAUGGCCUACCAAGGCUUUUGACGGGUAGCUGGCCUGAGAGGGUGGUCAGCCACACGGGGACUGAGACACUGCCCCGACUCCUACGGGAGGCUGCAGUCGAGGAUCUUUAGCAAUGGGCGAAAGCCUGACUAUGCGACGCCGCGUGAGGGAUGAAGGUUUUCGGAUCGUAAACCUCUUUCGAUGGGGAAGAAUGUCCAGGCUUAACCGUCUGGAUUGACGGUACCUAGAGAAGAAGCCACGGCCAACUCCGUGCCAGCAGCCGCGGUA